rnacentral:rRNA from 1 species
GACGAACGCUGGCGGCGUGCCUAAUACAUGCAAGUCGAACGAGUGGCGGACGGGUUAGUAACACGUGGGAACCUACCCAUCAGAGGGGGAUAACUACUGGAAACGGUAGCUAAUACCGCAUACCAUCAGAUGGGCCCAGUUGGGAUUAGCUAGUAGGUGGGGUAAUGGCUCACCUAGGCGACGAUCCCUAGCUGGGUUGAGAGGAGGACCAGCCAAACUGGAACUGAGACACGGGCCAGACUCCUACGUGAGGCAGCAGUGGGGAAUAUUGCACAAUGGGCGCAAGCCUGAUGCAGCCAUGCCGCGUGUAUGAAGAAGGCCUUCGGGUUGUAAAGUACUUUCAGCGGGGAGGCGUUACCCGCAGAAGAAGCACCGGCUAACUCCGUGCCAGCCGCCGCGGUAAUAC